rnacentral:rRNA from 1 species
GACGAACGCUGGCGGCGUGCUUAACACAUGCAAGUCGAACGGACAGGCCCCGCUUGUGGUGUUCUCGUGUGGCGAGCGGGAGGGUGACACGUGUGUGAUUUGCCCUGCUCUUCGGGAUACUCAUCUUACAGUGGCUCUAAUCCCGGAUGGAUCCCAUUUGUAUUGUGAUGGUUGGAAAGUUUCUGCGGUGUUGGAUGUGCUCGCGGCUUAUCAGCUUGUUGGUGGGGUAAUGGCUUACCGAGGCGGCGACGGGUAGCCGGCCUGCGAGGGCGACCGGCCACAUUGGGACUGAGAUACGGCCCAGACUCCGACGGGAGGCAGCAGUGGGGAAGAUUGCACAAUGGGCGGAAGCCUGAUGCAGCAACGCCGCGUGCGGGAUGACGGCCUUCGGGUUGUAAACCGAUUUCAGCAGGGGCGAAGCUUGUGGUGACGGUACCUGCAGAAGAAGCACCGGCUAACUACGUG